UUUUUUUUUUUUUUUUUUUUUUUUUUUUUUUUUUUUUUGAA
rnacentral:ribozyme from 1 species